GCAUGGUCUUAGCUUGCUAAGGCCGAUGGCGACCGGCGCACGGGUGAGUAACACGUAUCCAACCUGCCGUCUACUCUUGGACAGCCUUCUGAAAGGAAGAUUAAUACAAGAUGGCAUCAUGAGUUCACAUGUUCACAUGAUUAAAGGUAUUCCGGUAGACGAUGGGGAUGCGUUCCAUUAGAUAGUAGGCGGGGUAACGGUCCACCUAGUCUUCGAUGGAUAGGGGUUCUGAGAGGAAGGUCCCCCACAUUGGAACUGAGACACGGUCCAAACUCCUACGGGAGGCAGCAGUGAGGAAUAUUGGUCAAUGGGCGAGAGCCUGAACCAGCCAAGUAGCGUGAAGGAUGACUGCCCUAUGGGUUGUAAACUUCUUUUAUAAAGGAAUAAAGUCGGGUAUGGAUACCCGUUUGCAUGUACUUUAUGAAUAAGGAUCGGCUAACUCCGUGCCAGCAGCCGCGGUAAUACGGAGGAUCCGAGCGUUAUCCGGAUUUAUUGGGUUUAAAGGGAGCGUAGAUGGAUGUUUAAGUCAGUUGUGAAAGUUUGCGGCUCAACCGUAAAAUUGCAGUUGAUACUGGAUAUCUUGAGUGCAGUUGAGGCAGGCGGAAU
rnacentral:rRNA from 1 species